rnacentral:rRNA from 1 species
UGAGGAAUAUUGGGCAAUGGAGGCAACUCUGACCCAGCCAUGCCGCGUGAGUGAAGAAGGUUUUCGGAUUGUAAAGCUCUUUCGGACAGGAAGAUAAUGACGGUACUGUCUAAAGAAGCCCCGGCUAACUUCGUGCCAGCAGCCGCGGUAAUACGAAGGGGGCGAGCGUUGUUCGGAAUUACUGAGCGUAAAGGGUGUGUAGGCGGCUUUGUAAGAUAGCGGUGAAAUACCUGGGCUUAACCUAGGAACUGCCGUUAUUACUAUAGAGCUAGAGUGAUAGAGAGGAUAUUGGAAUACCCAGUGUAGAGGUGAA